UGAAGGCGGCGCCCGCCUGCCGUGAGGACGGUCGCGCUGUGACUCGGGCGGAGCUGGUUGGAGGGCGGCACCCAGGAGCUCGGGUUCCAGUUGCCCCAACACACGCUGCCGUGAGCGCUGACAGUGGGUUUCUCGGGAAGGAGAAGGAGCAGUUCCUAGGUUGUUUACCAACAAUUUGCAUCAAAAUAACAUAAGCUAUUGAUUGGCUCUGCUUUGUUCUUUGGAACAGAAAUUCUAGGAAUUUGGAGAUAAUGGGAGAGGUGGCCGGUCAGGAACACAGUCCUUUAAACAGUCGCCCCGCCGGGGCCUGGCCGCAGGAGCGGGUGUGGCUGUGAGCGAGUCCCCGGUUCCCGUUUCUGGGCCGGAUGGGUUUUGCAUAUUCACAGCUGAGACUGCUCUGCGCUAUUUUUCUUCUCAGAAAGCAGAGAGAUUUCUUGAAAAUAAUUUCUUAGCGGAAGAUGUCUUAAAUAGGAUGCAAAGUCCUGAAACCACUGGUUGAAGUAACGCUUUUUGAGUGCCCACAGCAUGCCCAGCAGGUCAGGGCUGCAGCUGAAAUUUUCCUGUGUAAUGGAAAAAGGGAGGGGUGAGGAAAUAGAUGCUUAUGCACUGACCUUGGUGGUAAAUGCUGUCAGAAAAAGCUGGAAGUGGGAUGGGGACACUGUUCAUAUAGGCCUCUGGGUGAAAGGGUGGGGAACAUCUUAAGAUACCAAAAGGGGCUGGGUGCAGUGGUGGCGCAUGCCUGUAGUCCCAGCUACUCGGGAGGCUGAGGCAGGAGGAUCGCUUGAGCCCAGGAGUUUGAGGAUGCCGUGAGCUAUAAUGAUAUUGUUUACAAAGCACCAAGAACAUCAGUCUAACAAUUAACAUGCAAGACCUCUACACAGAACUACAAAUCAUGGCUAAGAGAAAGUAGUGACAUUUAAAUAAAUGGGGGAACAUACCAGGUUCAUGGACCGCAGACUCACUAUUAUAAAGACAUCAGAGAUCUCCAAAUGCAUCUACAGAUUCAAUGCAAUCCCAAUCAAAAUCCCAAACAGUUUUUAAGGAAAUUGACAAGCUGAUUCUAAAAUUUACAUGGAAAAACAAAGGGCCACGAGGAGCCUGGAGAAGCCUGAAGACCGAGACAGUUGGAAGCUGGACCCUGGCUUGGAGAACCGUGUGGCAGGCUCUGCCGGAGCUGGGCACACGUGGCCUGUGACUCAGCAUUCUCUUAGGAUGUGCCCAACGGAAAGGCACAUGUGUGUUCACACACACACGUGUAGGAGAGAAGUUAUAGCAGUUAUUCAUCACAGCCUGUGAAAGCUGAUUCAAAACAGAGUCACUCGUGUCAAACCCUGGCAAGUCAGAGCCGGGAGGGCCAUGGUGGGGUCCUCACACCAUUUGUCUGAUAACAGGUACUGCUACAUGGAAGGUUUCCAGACUGCAGCUCGCUGUGUGUCAUGCAAGGACAGUGGGUGCUUAUGGAGAAACACCUGCCUGGCACCCCGCUGCACAGCCCAGUCCAAAACUGCAGGGCCCCGUGGUCAUCUGAGGAGUCUUCAGACAAAAACCACCCGAAUGCCCAGCAGCAGGAGAGUGGACACCAGCCGGUAUUUGACAGCGGCACGCUCUCAGCCACACGGACGGACACACCACGGUGGAUCCCCCAACACAGCGUUUAGGGAGAGCAGCCGGACUGACAGUCACGACUGAUUCCACAGAUGUGCAACGCAGAUUGGGUCGAGGGACACUGUGCCAGGGGAUGACCCCAAGACAGCACGGGGUGUUCUGGGGCCUGGUGACCGUCGCUGUCUGGACCUGAAUGGUGGUGUUGAAUCAUUGGUGUGUUCCCUUUUGGAGUAUUCUAUGUUUUUACUUCAAUAAGUUCAUUAAAGCAGUGGUCCCCGACCUUUUUGGCACCAAG